CCACGCCGUAAACGAUGAGUGCUAAGUGUUAGAGGGUUUCCGCCCUUUAGUGCUGCAGCUAACGCAUUAAGCACUCCGCCUGGGGAGUACGGUCGCAAGACUGAAACUCAAAGGAAUUGACGGGGGCCCGCACAAGCGGUGGAGCAUGUGGUUUAAUUCGAAGCAACGCGAAGAACCUUACCAGGUCUUGACAUCCUCUGACAACUCUAGAGAUAGAGCGUUCCCCUUCGGGGGACAGAGUGACAGGUGGUGCAUGGUUGUCGUCAGCUCGUGUCGUGAGAUGUUGGGUUAAGUCCCGCAACGAGCGCAACCCUUGAUCUUAGUUGCCAGCAUUUAGUUGGGCACUCUAAGGUGACUGCCGGUGACAAACCGGAGGAAGGUGGGGAUGACGUCAAAUCAUCAUGCCCCUUAUGACCUGGGCUACACACGUGCUACAAUGGAUGGUACAAAGGGCUGCAAGACCGCGAGGUCAAGCCAAUCCCAUAAAACCAUUCUCAGUUCGGAUUGUAGGCUGCAACUCGCCUACAUGAAGCUGGAAUCGCUAGUAAUCGCGGAUCAGCAUGCCGCGGUGAAUUCGUUCCCGGGCCUUGUACACACCGCCCGUCACACCACGAGAGUUUGUAACACCCGAAGUCGGUGGAGUAACCGUAAGGAGCUAGCCGCCUAAGGUGGACAUAAU
rnacentral:rRNA from 1 species